rnacentral:rRNA from 1 species
GAUGAACGCUGGCGGCGUGCCUAAUACAUGCAAGUCGAGCGAACGGACGAGAAGCUUGCUUCUCUGAUGUUAGCGGCGGACGGGUGAGUAACACGUGGAUAACCUACCUAUAAGACUGGGAUAACUUCGGGAAACCGUAGCUAAUACCGGAUAAUAUUUUGAACCGCAUGGUUCAAAAGUGAAAGACGGUCUUGCUGUCACUUAUAGAUGGAUCCGGGCUGCAUUAGCUAGUUGGUAAGGUAACGGGUUACCAAGGCAACGAUGCGUAGACGACCGGCGAGGGGGGUCGGCGACACUGGAGCUGGGCCGCGGUCAAGGCUCCUAAGGGAGGCAGCAGUAGGGAAUCUUCCGCAAUAGGCGAAAGCCUGACGGAGCAACGCCGCGUGAGUGAUGAAAGUCUUCGGAUCGUAAAACUCUGUUAUUAGGGAAGAACAUAUGUGUCAGUAACUGUGCACAGCGUGACGGUACCUAAUCAGGAAGCAACGGCUAACUACGUG